GUUUAUUUCAAUGCAAUUUCUUUUUGUACUUGUAAAUAAACUUAAAGAAACAGUGUGUUCACACAAAAACCAUGAAAUAAAAGAAAUGUCACUCAUUAUACAGUGGAUAACAAUUAACAACAAACAAUUUAGUUUAGUUGGGUCCACACAUUAUGUUCACCUAUUGGAGUUUAACUUUUUAAGCUUUUUCAUUUUUAUUUAAACUGCAAUUAGCAUAAAAUUCUUAAAGAUGGUAUUCUUUAUUCAUGCAAUAGUCAAGUGUUCAUGUGCCCAAAUAUUAUCUGCAUGCACAAUAAUAAUAAUAAAAAAAGGGUUUUCAAUCUGGGGUUCAGGACCAAAGCAAAGGGGUCAACAAAAUAAUUUAUACCAUAUUUUCCAGACUACUGGUCUUUUUUUUUAAUCUUCUGAGAUGUGCUGAAUUAUUCUAAGCAAAACGUAAACACAUAAAAGCGGGCACUUACAGGUUUCUAUAAGUAUAGUUCUCAUGUCUGUGUGACAAGCCUGUCUGUACACAGUGGUACAGACAAUAUGUGGUACAGAAAUGUUUUCUACAUUUCAGAAUGAGGUUCACAGAAACUGAGAUAGCAAGUGCAUUUUAAUUAACAAAAGAUAUACUGCUUGUAAAUAAUGGCACUAGAAUUUUUUUUUAUUUUAUACAUAGGCCUAAAUAUUUUUAUUUUUAUUCUGUUUUGAAUAGUAUUCAAUUUAAAUGAUUUGAAGUGAGGGAAAAUAAAAUCUUUACAGUGUUCAUAGUUUUUAAGUUUCUUAACGUUUGUUUUAUUUAUCAGUAUUUAAAAUAUUUCUGAAAUUAAUAGUAAAAUGUGUCUUAUACACGGAUGCAACUUAUGUGUUUUUUCCUGACUCCCACCCACAAUAAUUUUAAGCCUUAAAAUCUGUUGUAAUUCUGAGGGUGUCUUUGAAAAAUCUUCUCUGCAAGGGAUCCCUGGCGCCAAAAUGUUGUAAAUGUCCAGUGCUAGUGGUCAGGCAUCCAUAUACAGCAAAGUCUGGUGUGGUAGGAGGAACUGUCCUGGUCGGCACAACAUCUAUCUGUCUUCAUGAACUGCCCUGAAACACAAAUUAAAUAUAAAUGAUUAUUAUAAAUAUAAAUAUAGCUUCACAAUGCUCAUUUGACCUCUGUGGUGAACAUAUGAUCAGAAAAUACUGCCAGACUGAUUUUUAGUCUUUAGGGAAUUAUUUCAAAGCGUAAUUUUAAUUUUUUUUUUUUUUUUUUUUUUUUAAAGACUCGCGUGAGCAUCCAGGAUACACGACAAAGGCUGUUUUAAUACAAGAACACUUCACACAAGAUAAAGUUUUGAAAAUCUUACAUUAUCGUUAAUAUAGUGACAGAAUGUAUUUGUAUUUGCAGUACUAAAACUAACCACUAGGUGUCAGUAGUGUUACACUCACCAGUAGAGUGUGUAGAUUACGAAUCAGAAGUUAAACUCUUGUUGCUGUUCCCGUCCUGAAAAGUAGAAAAAAAUAUAAGUUCUAAAAUCGUUUCUUUAUUUGAUCAAGAAAAAUUACAGUUACCUGUUUUAGUGACUAAUUUUAAUAACUUAGUUAAAAAGGAUCAUCAAAAUUUUACCUCAGACUGUAACUUGGACCACCUCAAAUUAAUAAACAGGGAUAACGUUAUGUACAAUUACAAAAAGAGGAAUUUGAAAAUAUAUAAUCUUUAUAAUCCAAAUAAAUAAUUUGAAAUAUUAAACUGAAGUGAAAUUUAACAUUAGAUUGAUAAAACGAUGAAUAAAAGCACAUUUAUUCUUACCUUUGGCUCAGCGCAGUUGUCAGAUGACCGUUACUGUUUGAAUUUCCAAGUAACCGUUAACGUUAAUUACGUCGUUCGUUGGUCCGGUAUCUCUGUAGGUUUAUAAAGUGUCCUCAGCGUAGAAAUAAAUAAAUUAAAGGAUGGCGGCAGUUAUAUCUUCAGUCUUUUGUAAUAAACAGAAUUAUUCUUCCGUCUUCGUGGUUAUUUGCGCCAUCACGUUACGUUUACGUUUUUUUUUUUUGCCAUCACGUUUACGUCACUCACGUAACAUCACGUUAACGCCCCUCGUGGCCAGCGCACGUUUAAAUACACUAUUUCAUUUAAUUUAAAUCUUUGUGUUAAAUAUUUAUUAUUUAAUUAUUUAAUAGGAUAUAUUAUUUCAAUCUAAUUAUCUAUUUAAAUAUAUUCAACUUUAAUAUAUUUUAAUGUAUUUAACUUUAUUUAAUUAUCUAUAUUUAAUUUAUAGAUCUAAUACAGAUAUAAACUGCUGUUUCUGUCAAUGCUCCAGUGAAAAAUACCACUCAAAUAAAUAAAUAAAUCCAUGUAAGAUUUUAUAUGGUCACAUUAUGGUACUUUAAUUAGGCCUAUGUUUUUAAAAAUGUAUAUAUUACAUUAUUUUGACACCUAAAUGUUUCAGAAGAGUAGGCUACAUGUG
ensembl:lncRNA